CAAUACCGGUUAGAAUACAACCGUCGACUAUUUACAUCAUUUAAAUCAGCCCCUAUUGUAGCUAAAAUAUGUUUUUUUGCAUACGUGCUAGAUUUUAACCGAGUUGACUGCCACAUUUCUUCUCAAUCAUUAGUCGGAAUGCGAUGAAAUUUUAACAGUAAGCUAACAACGUCACUUUAUGAUUUUCUGUAAUUUUUCCAAUUUUUUCUGGAAACUUUUUUUUUAAUUCAAAAUUUAAGCCAACAUAAUGGGUAAGUUGAGUUGGUCAAAUUUUAACAGUAGGCUACCGAUCGUUUUCCCAAUGGAGCUGAAAUUUUAAUAAUAAGUUGAGAACAUGAAUUUUGUUUUUCUCCAUAUUUUUCUAGACUGAAAAAAUGUUAGUUGAGUUGGUCAAACCUGCCACGUAUGUGAACCAUCUUUUGGAUGGGUGAGAGGGUAAUUUAAAUGGUACGAAUAGUCGGAGGUUGUGUUCUAAACUGGUAUUGAAGUUCGGGGGUAAUCUAAACUCAAUGGUUAGUUUAGAGUUGUAAUAUGAACUUAUCCCGUCUUUAAGUGCAUAACUGCAUAUGUAGCAAAACAUUUAGGAUUGGUAAUUUCUUCGUUAUGUAUGUGCAGUAGAUUUUUGCAGAAAUUCAUAAUUUGAACUAUUGAUGUAUUAGGUAUCUAUGUGCAAUUGUUUUUGUAUAUGUCUGUCAGGAAAAUAGGAUAUUCUUAGACGCACUUUCUAGGCUGCAAUGUUAGGUUUAAUGACGUGCAAUUUACGACCAAAAUUUUAUUAUAGAACUAUGAC
rnacentral:lncRNA from 1 species